rnacentral:rRNA from 1 species
AUGAAGAGCUUGCUCUUCAAAUCGAGUGGCGAACGGGUGAGUAACGCGUGAGGAACCUGCCUCAAAGAGGGGGACAACAGUUGGAAACGACUGCUAAUACCGCAUAAGCCCACGGCUCGGCAUCGAGCAGGGGGAAAAGGAGCAAUCCGCUUUGAGAUGGCCUCGCGCCCGAUUAGCUAGUUGGUGAGGUAACGGCCCACCAAGGCGACGAUCGGUAGCCGGACUGAGAGGUUGAACGGCCACAUUGGGACCGAGACACGGCCCAGACUCCUACGGGAGGCAGCAGUGGGGAAUAUUGCACAAUGGGGGAAACCCUGAUGCAGCGACGCCGCGUGGAGGAAGAAGGUCUUCGGAUUGUAAACUCCUGUUGUUGAGGAAGAUAAUGACGGUACUCAACAAGGAAGUGACGGCUAACUACGUGCCAGCAGCCGCGGUAAAACGUAGGUCACAAGCGUUGUCCGGAAUUACUGGGUGUAAAGGGAGCGCAGGCGGGAGAACAAGUUGGAAGUGAAAUCCAUGGGCUCAACCCAUGAACUGCUUUCAAAACUGUUUUUCUUGAGUAGUGCAGAGGUAGGCGGAAUUCCCGGUGUAGCGGUGGAAUGCGUAGAUAUCGGGAGGAACACCAGUGGCGAAGGCGGCCUACUGGGCACCAACUGACGCUGAG